UGGGGAAUAUUGCACAAUGGGCGAAAGCCUGAUGCAGCGACGCCGCGUGAGGGAUGACGGCCUUCGGGUUGUAAACCUCUUUCAGUAGGGACGAAGCGCAAGUGACGGUACCUGCAGAAGAAGCACCGGCUAACUACGUGCCAGCAGCCGCGGUAAUACGUAGGGUGCGAGCGUUGUCCGGAAUUACUGGGCGUAAAGAGCUCGUAGGCGUUUUGUCACGUCGUCUGUGAAAUCCUAGGGCUUAACCCUGGACGUGCAGGCGAUACGGGCUGACUUGAGUACUACAGGGGAGACUGGAAUUUCUGGUGUAGCGGUGGAAUGCACAGAUAUCAGGAAGAACACCGAUGGCGAAGGCAGGUCUCUGGGUAGUAACUGACGCUGAGGAGCGAAAGCAUGGGUAGCGAAAAGG
rnacentral:rRNA from 1 species